rnacentral:sRNA from 1 species
CACAUGGAAGAUCCCAGAGAGAGACAGAGACAGGGAGACAGAGACAGAGAUAGAGGAAGGACAAGAAAGAUGACAAGGACUCGCCCAAGAAGAACAAGGGCAAGGAGCGCCGGG